ACAACCUUAUAAGCCACAGAUGGUACCAAAAAUGUCGGUGUUGGCUGCCAAUGUUGUUGUAAUUGUACUUUUGUUUUUGCUUUCCAGUAAAGAAUCUUUUAUUCAUCAAAAAAUAAAAUAAAACAAAGGGAUCGGAAAAUCUGUGCAUAAUGAAACUAGCGGGUAUGGCAGAUGCAACGCACGUGGAGAGAUAGAUAGGAGAGAGAGUUCCAAGAGCAAGGGUGCAGGCCACACACACACACACAAGGGUAACAUCAUCGUCAUUGUCAUCAUCUAAACCUUAUCCCAACUAAUUGGGGUUGGCUACAUGAAUUCUUUUCCGCCAUUCCACUCUAUUAGGGGCCGUAACUUCAGUUAGACCAAUCUGUUUUCACUAACUCCACCCACGCCCUUUUAGGCCUCCCCCUUGCCCUUUUAGAGCCUUUAACUUGUACCAACUCAUUAUUUCUAAUCGGCAUAGUUCUUGGUCUUUGUUGCGCAUGACCAAACCAUCUAAAAGUUUACUUCCCCUCAUCUUAUCACAUAUUGAUGCUAUUCAUAAAUUCCCUUAGAUGCAUUCAUUUCUAAUUCUAGUUGUUUGACCACUCGCCCAUCUCAACAUCCACAUUUCGGCUUCACACAUCCAUCAUCAUCAUCAUCAUCAUCAUCUUAUGAACUCAAUUAAAGUGGUAGAAAUACCCCUGGCUGAAUUCGCGGAGACAUCCAAAUUAUCUAAAUAGUAAAUACACAUUCCUAUGUUGGAAAUCCCAUUGAAGAUAAAGAGACAUCCAAAUUACCCAAAUACCCUUUUCCAAUGUUAGAAAUCCCUUCCAAUGUCCUACUGAAACCCAACUUCAUGACUCCCCAUAGACUGAUUUCUUGCUAAAAUUGUCCCUAGCUACUGAUGUUAUAUAUAGUAGGGAUUAUAAGAUUAUACUAUUCAAAAAUAAUUUCAUGAAGGCCUCGAAUUUGGACACCAGUGGAAGCUCUGUUUGAAGUGGAUAAAAAUGCCCUUACUCUAACCCAUUAUGACUUGUAAGGGGUUAUAAAUGAAAUAUCUGACUCCUUACUGCAGAAAACACUGUUAGGGUUAUGCCUCGAAAAACUAGUGUUAUACUCUUUAUACCUCGGUUUAUUAUGUGAUGCAUUCAUUUAUUAGCCUCAUUAAUGUGUGUGGAACAUAGAAAUCAUAUUACAUGAAUGGGUUAAAGCGAGGGAUUCCUUUAGUCAUCCAUGGGAACCUGAGAUUGGGGGAGAGUUGUUGGCCAUGGAACUCAAUAUCCUAUUUAACCAUGACCAAUUAGCAGGCCGUUAGACAAAAUGUGGUAUUCUUAUCUUAUUCAUCCUGUGUGAGGGGAUUAACAAUGAGUCAGGAUGGAAGGUCUCCACUAUUGGGCACGACAACGAGUCGGUGUGCCUUGGCUUGACCCCACAUAGGGGUGUGAGUGUGCCAUGGGUACAGGCUCCUGGUUUGGACAUAUUAAGUACUUACAUUGGCAGGGCUAAUGACAAGUCUGUAGAUCUGGAGACACAUUAUUCUUAGAUUAGAUCGACUUGCGGAUGCACGAAGCUUCAAUUAAUCCUUAGACCUGAGGAGGUGUGGGCUGAGAGGUCUUGAUUACAUGUGCUUUGGCUCACUUAACGAAGUCAUCUCAUUGCCAUUAAAAGUGGGGAUAGUUGGGGGCAUACAUCAAGGUCCAUUGAAGCUUGCACAAAUCAACAAAGGAUCAGCUUGGUUACCUGGGACAUUACUUAUGUGCUGAUCUUAUGGUUUGGAUUAUUCCUCAAGUGUUUUAAAGGCUUACUAGCACAUUAAAAGUUUUCUAUUGGUUAAUUGGAGAUUUUCAACCGUUAAGUUUUAGUUUUGACUGUUGAUUUGUUUUAAACUAAGCUUGGUGAACAUCCAAUUGUUAAGAUCUGAUGAUCUAUACUUUAGGCCGACAUGGGAUAUUGGCUGAGGAUGGUGUCCACGGUAAGUUAAGGGAUUUGGUCGGUUGGAGUGCCUGGUUAGGACAAGAUCAUGAACUUUUGAUGAAUUAGGUCAUUACUGAAGUUUGUAAGGUGGUGGAGUAUCAUAACCGUUGUUUUUCCUAAUAGCUAGUUUUUUAUAAAUAGAUCCUGUCUCGGAGUGAGAGCAAAUAUAGAAGAAAGGGCCUUUGGACGCCCAAGCCC